GGAACGCGAUUCUCAGAGAGAGCGAUGAGAGAGUUAUUUGUGAGGAUUUUCAUUUGAGAGAGAGAGUGAGGUAGUUAUCAGUGGGGAGGUGAGGUGUGUGAGUGGCCAUUUAGUAAGGGAGACGUGGGGUAAGGAAUGGACGCGUGGAAGAGAGACGUUGGAGUUUCUAUUUUUUAUUUUUCUUUUUGUUAUUUAUUUUUUAUAUUUUUG
rnacentral:lncRNA from 1 species